CAGCCUGGUAGGCUGCGCUCAGCUCACACUACCGGCCUGGAUCACAUGCCUCCCAAAGGCCCGGAUCCCAUGUCUGCUAAGGGUGAGUCAGGCAUGGAACAGUGAGGGGUAUGUGAGCAAGCAUGGGGUCUGGCCACUGUGUACAGUCAGACAUGCCAGCUGCUACAGCGGGGCAGGCGGCUCCACAUGCUGGCAUGGGCACCAGCUCUCUGCGAGGCUGUGGCCAGACCAGGCUCACUGCAAGCAGCUUCCAUGGCUGGCAGUGGGGAACGUGGUGAUACCCGGAAGCUUGGAGAUGCCAGAAACCACAGAGCCCCAAAGAGGCAGUCAUAGUUAUGGCUCAGGGAGCUCCCAGGUAUGGGCUCCCCGAAGGGCUGCAGCUCUUCUCUCCUUCUCUUUGCCUACAACACGGUGAGCAAGAGGCAUGCUUCAGUCCUGUUUGUGCUACAGCUUUUUUACCCUUGACAUUCAGCAAGUUCCAAGUUGUUGUCCUGCAACCAGGAAGAAUGAGGUAUGCAGAAUUUGCAGCAGCCUACUACUUCUUUCAAAUGAUCUGUGAAUUCUUUUGGUUUUCCUGGUACAUUCCUGUGGUUGUUCCUAGAGCAAAAGUCCAUGGUGUAAGUCUCCACACACUGUUCUGUCUGUCCAAGUGGGAGCUGUACAUCAGCCUUGUCUCCAAUCUGCCAUCUUGAAUUCUUAUCUCUAACUAUUUUGUAAUAACACUUAGCUUAAAAUACAAACACAUUGUAUAGCUGUACACAAAUUCUUUCUUUAUAUCCUAAUCUUAUAAACUUCUUCUUGCCAAAAAAUUACUUUUUAAACUUUUUUGUUAAAAACUAAUACACACUCUCCCUCUCCCUCUCCCUCUCCCCACGGUCUCCGUCUCCCUCUCCCCACGGUCUCCCUCUCCCUCUCUUUCCACGGUCUCCCUCUG
rnacentral:lncRNA from 1 species